UACGGAGGGUGCAAGCGUUAUCCGGAUUCACUGGGUUUAAAGGGUGCGUAGGUGGGCAGGUAAGUCAGGGGUGAAAUCUCUGGGCUUAACCCAGAAACUGCCGUUGAUACUAUCUGUCUUGAAUAUAGUGGAGGUGAGCGGAAUAUGUCAUGUAGCGGUGAAAUGCUUAGAUAUGACAUAGAACACCCAUUGCGAAGGCAGCUCGCUACACUAUCAUUGACACUGAGGCACGAAAGCGUGGGGAUCAAACAGG
rnacentral:rRNA from 1 species